rnacentral:lncRNA from 1 species
CUAUCUCAGAUUCUCAGCUGAAUCUCCCCCCGAAAUAUCUAUGUAUAAUAGUAAUUCACUACAAGAAAAAGAUUUUUUGACGACCAACCAUGUUGGUUGCCCCGAUCGUCGCAAGAAACCUCGUAGUUAAUUACAUAUAGCUGAUCAAUUCAACUUUUGGAUUGGAGUUUGUCGUCUUUGUUACCUAAGGACGACCAACCUGGAUCGUUGGUCUCAAACUUUGGUUCAUCUUCAAUGUCGAUUGUAAUUGACCAUCAACCUGGUUGGUAUCAAACUUCGGUUCAUCUUCAACGUCCACUAACACUAACCCUAUAAUUAAAGUGAUCCAUGAUUUGACAAAAUGGAUAAAUUGAAAGUGGACGCAUUGAAUCACGUCUAGGUCAUUUGUCGUCCUGAAUCUUAUGGUGAGGAAAGACAAAUCAUCUUAAGAUUCAAAUGAUGUGUCUUUUUAACUUUGAUGUUGUGCCCCAAUUGUCUGGAAUAAAAGCAUUUCCUAGCCAAUGGGAACCCAACAUGUAUAUAACACGUCAAAACAGGUGGCUGCAUGGCUGGUAUUGAUCGAGAGCUGACAGCUGGAAAGGCACGUGGAGUGCAACAAUAUGAUAGCAUGUAUUAUAAAUAGUAGGAAUUAGUAAUGUAAUGGGGGGGGACACACGAUUGUAAAAUGUUAGCACAACAUUUGGCGACUCCGCUGGGGACCUCUCGUCUUUGCUCCGACACAGAAGGAUAGCACCCACCUUGGUCCCAUCUCCGACAGCGCAAGUAGGAUUUCUUGUUCUAACCCUCUACGCGAAUCUCUUCCUAAUCUUCCAGUUCUUCUCUUCAACCUUCUCAACGCAU